rnacentral:lncRNA from 1 species
UAAACAUAAUGAACCAGCAAAGUAUGUAUGUAACUUGUGUUUCAGAGGAAUGAUUGAUGUAUCUGUCAUGUUUGGCCUGCAAUGGGCGUGGGGCCUCUGAAUGUACCUCUGCUAAGGGAAAGAAAGGAAGGGUAAUGGGUAGUGAUCUUUGGGUUUUAAUUCUGUGAAUGUAAUCAUUUUGGGGUACUAUUCUAAGGGGGUUAAAGUGGGCCAUAUUUGUGUUAACCCUAUAAGUAUUUGCUCUCAUAUUAUUUUCCUGCAUUAGGAGAGAACAAUAAUCAUAACAAUUUGAGACACUCGCCUGUAAAUGCCUCAAGAAGAGAGAGAGAGAAAGGAUAGUAGAUUGGAUUCCGCGGGGGGCGUGAAGGAGUCAGGAGAUGGCAGAAUUGAGUCAGACACCAGGCCGUAUCGAUUUUACUGGAGCCCACAGCACAACUCCGGACUCUGGAACUCUCAAAGGACAGAACCAUCCAGUAGCCCAAAAUUAACACCACACAGGUCAGCAGAAUGCUAUAGCUUAGCUGAGAAGAUAUUUGCAUAUCAAAGAGAUUAAAAGGGGAGCCACAGAAAUCUCCGCCCUCUCUUGGAUCUUAGCUCUCACUGAUGUCUGUCUUUGCUGGAGCUUGGCCUCGCCAAGCUCCAUCUUUAAUUCCUUUCCUUCUCUAUCUCUCUCACCUGGGACCUGGCCUUCGGCCAGGCACUUUCUUUUCUCUAUCAUGUCUCUGACCUGUGUGUGGUAUUAAAUUUGGAUCAUUGGACGGGAAUUAGCCUUUCUGAGAAGUCCACUGAUAGGGGUUCUGCUGUGGCUCCAUUAUAAUCAAUAAGGCCUGGUUUUCUGACUCAUUUCUGCCAUCUCAUAUCUCUAACUUGGCUCCACCACGCCCCUCGCGGUAUCCAAAACUUCUAUCCUUUUUCUAUCUUCCUACCUUGUGGCUUCUCGCGGGCCAAGAGGCCACAAGCAUGAUGACAGGAGUUGCUAGGGGAGAAAGACUGUGAACCAGGCACUGAGCACAUUGAGGAAGAAAGGGGAGUAUCAUUGAGAUUUGUAGAUAAGAACUACCAGGAUUUUGAUGGUGGUAAAUAGGAUUGUACGAAUCUCAAAGGAGAGGUUACCCAGUGAUAGCAGUAUCAGAAGAGCCUAGAAAUGGCAAUGGGGAGCUCCCCUACUUCUCUCAAUGAAUGAGGGAAUAUGAAUAAAAGUGCAACUGGGAAGGGUAGCCA